GAUGAACGCUGGCGGCGUGCCUAAUACAUGCAAGUCGAGCGAACAGACGAGGAGCUUGCUCCUCUGACGUUAGCGGCGGACGGGAGAGUAACACGUGGAUAACCUACCUAUAAGACUGGUAUAACUUCGGGAAACCGGAGCUAAUACCGGAUAAUAUAUUGAACCGUAUGGUUGAAUAGUGAAAGACGGCUUUGCUGUCACUUAUAGAUGGAUCUCGGCCGCUUUAGCUGGUUGGUAAGGUAACGGCUUACCAAGGCAACCAUGCGUAGCCGACGUGAGAGGGUGAUCGGCCACACUGGAGCUGAGACACGGUCAAGACUCCUACGGGAGGCAGCAGUAGGGAAUCUUACGCAAUGGGCGAAAGCCUGACGGAGCAACGCCGCGUGAGUGAUGAAGGUCUUCGGAUCGUAAAACCCUGUUAUUAGUGAAGAACAAAUGUGUAAGUAACUAUGCACGUCUUGACGGUACUUAAUAAGAAAGCCACGGCUAACUACGUG
rnacentral:rRNA from 1 species